AACGCACGAGACCUGCGGACCUGCGGAAGGAUCAUUACUGGGUUCUGGUCGAAAGACCGCUCACCCACCCUCUGUCAUUGCAAAUGAUCGUUUCGGUCGUUGGUUCCGCCCAUGACCGGCAUUGCAAAUUCUUCGUAGAUGAAGUCUGAUAACAAAAACAAAUGAAAAAAAACUUUUAGCAACGGAUCUCU
rnacentral:misc_RNA from 1 species